UCCGGGUACAGUGAAUAUUACAGAUUAAAGAUUAAAUACAAGAUUUACAAUUAAAAAAACACACAAAAGGUUAAACUUAAGGAAAUAAAAAACGAACCUCAUACUCUUUAAAAAAAAAAAUAUUAUAAAGAAGAAAAGAAACUAAUCGACAUUAUUGUCAUAUAUUAUCGUUUGGUUUCCGCCUGUUUUUCAGUAUAAAAACCGGAGAUCUGAAAUCUAAUCAUUGUGAAAGGAUUAAAACUCUUAAAUUGGACACUGGUUGAGGAGGUUGUAUCAUCAACAUGAAUUUUGGUAGCAUAUUGACCGCUCUUGUCUUUUCAGUGUUUCUGUUUGCGACGGCACAAGCCUGCUGUUGUGGCUCCGGUCAUGGUUCAGGUCACGGUCACGGUCACGGGCACGGUCACCAUGACAAGAAAUAACCUAUACGCGAAUGAAAAUUGGGAAAACCCCACAAAGUCAUCAAAGAACAACAUAUGAAUACACAAUUUGUGACACAGAUUUUGUAAUUUUUUACUUUAUUAAAAAUAAAAUAAAACUAGCAACUAA